rnacentral:rRNA from 1 species
CGGCGACCGGCGGAUGGGUGAGUAACACGUAUGCAACCUGCCUUCAACAUUGGAAUAACCCGUUGAAAGACGGACUAAUGCCUUAUAACACAGGGGCGCCGCAUGGCGAUAUUUGUUAAAGAUUUUAUCGGUUGAAGAUGGGCAUGCGCAUGAUUAGUUAGUUGGUAAGGUAACGGCUUACCAAGACAACGAUCAUUAGGGGUUCUGAGAGGAAGGUCCCCCACACUGGUACUGAGACACGGACCAGACUCCUACGGGAGGCAGCAGUGAGGAAUAUUGGUCAAUGAGCGAGAGCUUGAACCAGCCACGUCGCGUGCAGGAAGAAUGUCUUAUGGAUUGUAAACUGCUUUUUCGGUAGAGUAAUGUGCGUCACGUGUGACGUAUUGCAAGUAUACCGAGAAGAAGGAUCGGCUAACUCCGUGCCAGCAGCCGCGGUAAUACGGAGGAUCCGAGCGUUAUCCGGAUUUAUUGGGUUUAAAGGGUACGUAGGCGGGAUGAUAAGUCAGCGGUGAAAUUUUGCAGCUUAACUGUAAGCUUGCCGUUGAAACUAUUAUUCUUGAGUG